rnacentral:rRNA from 1 species
UACGUAGGGGGCUAGCGUUGUCCGGAUUUAUUGGGCGUAAAGGGCGCGUAGGCGGCCACCGCAGGUCGAUUGUGAAAUCUCCGGGCUUAACCCGGAAAGGUCAACCGAUACUGCGGGGCUAGAGUGCAGAAGGGGCAACUGGAAUUCUCGGUGUAGCGGUGAAAUGCGUAGAUAUCGAGAGGAACACCUGCGGCGAAGGCGGGUUGCUGGGCUGACACUGACGCUGAUGUGCGAAAGCUAGGGGAGCGAACGGG